rnacentral:rRNA from 1 species
CCUACGGGAGGCAGCAGUGAGGAAUAUUGGUCAAUGGGCGGGAGCCUGAACCAGCCAAGUCGCGUGAGGGAAGACGGUCCUAUGGAUUGUAAACCUCUUUAGGCGGGGAGCAAUGCCGGGCACGCGUGCCCGGAGGAGAGUACCCGCAGAAUAAGCAUCGGCUAACUCCGUGCCAGCAGCCGCGGUAAUACGGAGGAUGCGAGCGUUAUCCGGAUUUAUUGGGUUUAAAGGGUGCGUAGGCGGAUUUUUAAGUCAGCGGUAAAAUGUCCGGGCUCAACCCGGGCCGGCCGUUGAAACUGGGGAUCUUGAGUGGGCGAGAAGUAUGCGGAAUGCGUGGUGUAGCGGUGAAAUGCAUAGAUAUCACGCAGAACUCCGAUUGCGAAGGCAGCAUACCGGCGCCCGACUGACGCUGAGGCACGAAAGCGUGGGGAUCGAACAGGAUUAGAUACCCCAGUAGUG